UACGAAGGGGGCUAGCGUUGUUCGGAAUUACUGGGCGUAAAGCGUGCGCAGGCGGUUCGUUGUGUCGGCGGUGAAAGCCCCGGGCUCAACCUGGGAAUGGCCGUUGAAACUGGCGAACUGGAGUGUGGCAGAGGGGGGUGGAAUUCCGCGUGUAGCAGUGAAAUGCGUAGAGAUGCGGAGGAACACCGAUGGCGAAGGCAGCCCCCUGGACUGACACUGACGCUCAGGCACGAAAGCGUGGGGAGCAAACAGG
rnacentral:rRNA from 1 species